GUGGAUCCUGUGAACUGCAGGACACAUGAACACCGACAAGUUGAACGCAUAUUGCACAUCGUACCACAGUACGAUGUACACAUUUUUGAGUGCCUAUAUUUAUCGAUACAACUAUACGUGUGCGUGCGCGUCCCACUGCGGGGUGGACAGGUGCACGGCCCAUGGCACGUAUGCGUAGUGAUGUUUUCCCUCCCGCCCCGGGCUCGCGGUAAAACAUUUAAGAUAGUCAUCCGGCUGUGUGGCGGGCACGGUUGAUGAAGAUAACCCAUACCCGCCUCGGUGCCGGCGUGGCUGUGUUGUAUUCCAUUUUCUACGAUCAUAAAACCCAGUAGGCCGCAAAUAAUGAGUGACUACCCCCCCCAUAAAUUCAUAUCGACAC
rnacentral:rRNA from 1 species